rnacentral:rRNA from 1 species
GAUGAACGCUGGCGGCGUGCCUAAUACAUGCAAGUCGAGCGAACAGACGAGGAGCUUGCUUCUCUGACGUUAGCGGCGGACGGGUGAGUAACACGUGGAUAACCUACCUAUAAGACUGGGAUAACUUCGGGAAACCGGAGCUAAUACCGGAUAAUAUUUUGAACCGCAUGGUUCAAUAGUGAAAGACGGUUUUGCUGUCACUUAUAGAUGGAUCCGCGCCGCAUUAGCUAGUUGGUAAGGUAACGGCUUACCAAGGCAACGAUGCGUAGCCGACCUGAGAGGGUGAUCGGCCACACUGGAACUGAGACACGGUCCAGACCCCUACGGGAGGCAGCAGUAGGGAAUCUUCCGCAAUGGGCGAAAGCCUGACGGAGCAACGCCGCGUGAGUGAUGAAGGUCUUCGGAUCGUAAAACUCUGUUAUUAGGGAAGAACAAAUGUGUAAGUAACUAUGCACGUCCUGACGGUACCUAAUCAGAAAGCCACGGCUAACUACGUG